rnacentral:rRNA from 1 species
AUUGAACGCUGGCGGCAUGCUUGACACAUGCAAGUCGAACGGCAGCGCGGGCUUCGGCCUGGCGGCGAGUGGCGAACGGGUGAGUAAUACAUCGGAACGUGCCCAGUAGGGGGGGAUAGCUCGGCGAAAGCCGGAUUAAUACCGCAUACGACCUGAGGGUGAAAGCGGGGGAUCUUCGGACCUCGCGCUUUUGGAGCGGCCGAUGGCAGAUUAGCUAGUUGGUGGGGUAAAGGCCUACCAAGGCGACGAUCUGUAGCGGGUCUGAGAGGACGACCAGCCACACUGGGACUGAGACACGGCCCAGACUCCUACGGGAGGCAGCAGUGGGGAAUUUUGGACAAUGGGCGAAAGCCUGAUCCAGCAAUGCCGCGUGUGUGAUGAAGGCCUUCGGGUUGUAAAGCACUUUUGGCGGGAACGAAAAGGACUGUGCCAAUACCACGGUUCGAUGACGGUACCCGCAGAAUAAGCACCGGCUAACUACGUG